rnacentral:rRNA from 1 species
AUUGAACGCUGGCGGCAUGCCUUACACAUGCAAGUCGAACGGUAACAGGUCUUCGGAUGCUGACGAGUGGCGAACGGGUGAGUAAUACAUCGGAACGUGCCCGAUCGUGGGGGGAUAACGCAGCGAAAGCUGUGCUAAUACCGCAUACGAUCUACGGAUGAAAGCGGGGGAUCGCAAGACCUCGCGCGGACGGAGCGGCCGAUAUCAGAUUAGGUUGUUGGUGGGGUAAAGGCCUACCAAGCCUGCGAUCUGUAGCUGGUCUGAGAGGACGACCAGCCACACUGGGACUGAGACACGGCCCAGACUCCUACGGGAGGCAGCAGUGGGGAAUUUUGGACAAUGGGCGCAAGCCUGAUCCAGCAAUGCCGCGUGCAGGAUGAAGGCCUUCGGGUUGUAACUGCUUUUGUACGGAACGAAAAGGCUCUGGUUAAUACCUGGGGUCCAUGACGGUACCGUAAGAAUAAGCACCGGCUAACUACGUGCCAGCAGCCGAC